rnacentral:rRNA from 1 species
GACGAACGCUGGCGGCGUGCUUAACACAUGCAAGUCGAACGGAAAGGCCCUGCUUUUGUGGGGUUCUCGAGUGGCGAACGCGUGCGUAACACGUGAGUAACCUGCCCUUCUCUUUGGGAUAACUUCAGGAAACUGGGGCUAAUAUCGUAUAGGAGCUCCUGCUCCAUGGUGGGCGUUGGAUAUUUUCGGCGGUUGGGGAUGGACUCGCGGCUUAUCAGCUUGUUGGUGGGGUAGUGGCUUACCAAGGCUUGGACGGGUAGCCGGCCUGAGAGGGUGACCGGCCACAAUGGGACUGAGAUACGGCCCAGACUCGUACGGGAGGCAACAGUGGGGAAUAUUGCACAGUGGGCGGGAGCCUGAUGCAGCAGCGCCGCGUGCGGGAUGACGGCCUUCGGGUUGUGAACCGCUUUCGCCUGUGACGAAGCGUGAGUGACGGUAAUGGGUAAAGAAGCACCGGCUAACUACGUG